ACACGACUACAUUAGAUACCCGUGUAGUCCUAGCCGUAAACGAUACUCGCUAGGUGUCGGCCACGGUGCGACCGUUGUCGGUGCCGUAGGGAAGCCGUGAAGCGAGCCACCUGGGAAGUACGGCCGCAAGGCUGAAACUUAAAGGAAUUGGCGGGGGAGCACCACAACGGGUGGAGCUUGCGGUUUAAUUGGAUUCAACGCCGGAAAUCUUACCGGGACCGACAGCAACAUGAAGGCCAGGCUGGAGACUUUGCCGGAUUAGCUG
rnacentral:rRNA from 1 species